rnacentral:tRNA from 4 species
CCCCCGGUAGCUCAGCGGAUAGAGCGCUGGUUUCCUAAACCGGGUCGUCGCAGGUUCGAGCCCUGCUCGGGGGA